rnacentral:piRNA from 1 species
UCCCGGACAAGGAAACAUCCAGCAUUGCCUG